UGCCAGCCGCCGCGGUAAUACGGGGGAUGCAAGCGUUAUCCGGAAUCAUUGGGCGUAAAGCGUGCGUAGGCGGUUUAUUAAGUCAGAUGUGAAAGCCCCGGGCUUAACCUGGGAACUGCAUUUGAAACUGGUAAACUAGAGUAUGGUAGAGGAAAGUGGAAUUUCUGGUGUAGCGGUGAAAUGCGUAGAGAUCAGAAGGAAUACCGAUUGCGAAGGCGAUCUACUGGAACAUUAUUGAUGCUGAGAUGCGAAAGCGUGGGGAGCAAACAGGAUUAGAUA
rnacentral:rRNA from 1 species